rnacentral:rRNA from 1 species
GCAUAUCAAUAAGCGGAGGAAAAGAAACCAACCGGGAUUGCCCCAGUAACGGCGAGUGAAGCGGCAAGAGCUCAAAUUUGAAAUCUGGCCCCUCCGGGGUCCGAGUUGUAAUUUGCAGAGGAUGCUUCGGGUGCGGCCCCUGUCUAAGUGCCCUGGAACGGGCCGUCAGAGAGGGUGAGAAUCCCGUCUUGGGCAGGGUGCCCGUGCCCGUGUGAAGCUCCUUCGACGAGUCGAGUUGUUUGGGAAUGCAGCUCUAAAUGGGUGGUAAAUUUCAUCUAAAGCUAAAUACCGGCCGGAGACCGAUAGCGCACAAGUAGAGUGAUCGAAAGAUGAAAAGCACUUUGAAAAGAGAGUUAAACAGCACGUGAAAUUGUUGAAAGGGAAGCGCUUGCGACCAGACUCGGCCCUGGGGUUCAGCCAGCACUCGUGCUGGUGUACUUCUCCAGGGCCGGGCCAGCGUCGGUUUGGGCGGUCGGUCAAAGGCCCCAGGAAUGUACCACCCUCCGGGGUGUCUUAUAGCCUGGGGUGCAAUGCGGCCAGCCCGGACCGAGGAACGCGCUUCGGCACGGACGCUGGCGUAAUGGUCGCAAACGACCCGUCUUGAAACACGGACCAAGGAGUCUAACAUCUACGCGAGUGUUCGGGUGUCAAACCCGUACGCGCAGUGAAAGCGAACGGAGGUGGGAGCCCCUUACGGGGCGCACCAUCGACCGAUCCUGAUGUCUUCGGAUGGAUUUGAGUAAGAGCGUAGCUGUGGGGACCCGAAAGAUGGUGAACUAUGCCUGAAUAGGGCGAAGCCAGAGGAAACUCUGGUGGAGGCUCGCAGCGGUUCUGACGUGCAAAUCGAUCGUCAAAUUUGGGUAUAGGGGCGAAAGACUAAUCGAACCAUCUGGUAGCUG